UUGAAAUUAAAAAAACUGUCGAGGGACUAAAGCGAAACAUAACAUUAGAUGGAAGUAGAGAAUUCCUCUAUAAAGUGGAGAGAGAGAGCGCGAAGGGCAAUUGCCUGGGGAGGGGAGAGAUGGAGAGAAAGAAAGAGAAGAGACAGAGGUUAUCGAGAGUUUAACAGGGGAUUAAAACUUCUAGAUGGGAGGACCUGAGCCCUAGGACCAUGCCCCAGGACUACCUGACAUGAUGACUCCUUGCUGUCCCCAGUCCACCUGGCCAUGCUGCUGCUCCAGUUUCAACUGUUCUGCCUUAUUAUUAUUCGACCAUGCUGGUCAUUUAUGAACAUUUGAACAUCUUGGCUAUGUUCUGUUAUAAUCUCCACCCGGCAUAGCCAGAAGAGGACUGGCCACCCCACAUAUGCUCUCUCUAAUUCUCUCUUUCUUUCUCUCUCUCGGAGGACCUGGGCCCUAGGACCAUGCCCCAGGACUACCUGACAUGAUGACUCCUUGCUGUCACCAGUCCACCUGGCCAUGCUGCUGCUCCAGUUUCAACUGUUCUGCCUUAUUAUUAUUCGACCAUGCUGGUCAUUUAUGAACAUUUGAACAUCUUGGCCAUGUUCUGUUAUAAUCUCCACCCGGCAUAGCCAGAAGAGGACUGGCCACCCCACAUAUGCUCUCUCUAAUUUUCUCUUUCUUUCUCUCUCUCGGAGGACCUGAGCCCUAGGACCGUGCCCCAGGACUACCUGACAUGAUGACUCCUUGCUGUCCCCAGUCCACCUGACUGUGCUGCUGCUCCAGUUUCAACUGUUCUGCCUUAUUAUUAUUCGACCAUGCUGGUCAUUUAUGAACAUUUGAACAUCUUGGCCAUGUUCUGUUAUAAUCUCCACCCGGCACAGCCAGAAGAGGACUGGCCACCCCACAUAGCCUGGUUCCUCUCUAGGUUUCUUCCUAGGUUUUGGCCUUUCUAGGGAGUUUUUCCUAGCCACCGUGCUUCUACACCUGCAUUGCUUGCUGUUUGGGGUAUUAGGCUGGGUUUCUGUACAGCACUUUGAGAUAUCAGCUGAUGUACGAAGGGCUAUAUAAAUACAUUUGAUUUGAUUUGAUUUGUAUGGUAGUAGGUGCCAGACGCACCGGUUUGAGUGUGUCAAGAACUGCAACACUGCUGGGUUUUUCAUGCUUAACAGUUUCCCGUGUUUAUCUAGAAUGGUCUACCACCUAGAAGGUCACAACUGUGGGAAGCAACGUGGGCCAGCAUCCCUGUGGAAUGCUUUCGACACCUUGUUGAGUCCAUGCCCCGAGGAAUUGAAGCUGUUCUGAGGGCAAAAAGUGUAACGCAAUAUUUGGAAGGUGCUCCUAAUGUUUUUUACACUCAGUGUAGAUCCUUAUAAAACUAUAAAAGCAUAUUCUACACUGGAACAAACCCAAGAGCUAAACGUGGGAUUUUUUACUUAUUUCCUCAGAUCUUAAAUGUAUCUCCUUCUAGAUUUCCUCAUUCUGUGCGUACAUACAUUUAUCUUUACAUUAAAUAUUUGUCUUCUUAGGUAGAGUAAUGACCACUAUAGCUUUCAAGCGUACCAAAGCAGCAAACCACUGUGAACAUGGAUGGAUCACACUUGUGCAUGGUCUACUAAAUCCUCCAUACCUCCAUGUUGAAUCACCUUGAGGUCCAGUUGAAUACUCCUGCUCUCGUUUUGCAUCAGAUGGAGGAUCAACAGACUCUGGGUUAUUAAAGUCAGCCAAGCUUACAUGGAGAGCAGGGCAAACCGCAGAAUAUUGUAACUCAAGGCCAGAGGAGGUUUGUUUUUCUCAUGGCAAAGCACCCAAAUUAUGUUGGUAUGAAGAGUGCUAUAUAAAUGCAAAUUGUAUGUGAGAUCUACUAGAGUCCUGGAAAAAGGUUGUGUGUUAAUGUCCUAUAACACCACAGUGGAGCACUCAGCCCAGGCAGAUUAGUAUGGGCUACAUUUUUAAAAGACAGAAUUGAAUUUAAAAAAAUGCAAUUGCCUUGUGGAAAAUCAUAAACAAGGUGAGAACUUCAGUAAUUAAAUGGUUGAGGUAUUCUAUUUGAUUUACUGUAUAUGCAAGAGAGAUUGUUGUAAAUGCUCCAGUGUCAGAGAUUGUUGGUGCAGUUCAUGGUAUUUGCUUUACUAAGGGAAGAACUCUCAUGCAUAUAAUGUUAUCUUAUUAAAAUUCUACGAUAUGAAAUCCAGAAAUCAUCAUAGUUAUGUUUCGUAGUCAUUUUGGGCUUUUAUUGUAGGGGUGCAGAUGAUCUAGUCUAGACCAGUAGUCCAUUCAGAUGAGGGUGGGAAAGCAGGGAAAGGUUAACAUUUUCAAUAAAUGAUUUCUUGCUUUGCUUGUUUGUGUCCUAAAGGAUAAUGAAUAACGACUUUUUUUGACCUGUAAAAUAAACACC
ensembl:lncRNA